AUCGGACCGAUGGAACCCCCGGGGCAAUGGGACCCCCCCGGGACUGUUGGACCCCCCCACUCGUGGCCGUGGGACCCUCGAGGGGCUGUGAGAGCCCCCCCCGAGGGGCAGUGGGACCCCCAAAGGGCAGUGGGACCCCCCCGGGGCUGUGCCACGGGGCUGAAAUCAGCCCGGGGGACCCCCAUUGGGAUAGUGGGACCCCCCGGGAGCAGUGGGACCCCCCCACUCGUGGCCGUGGGUUCUCCCCGGGGCAAUUGGACCCCCC
rnacentral:lncRNA from 1 species